rnacentral:misc_RNA from 1 species
ACCACUUAACAGUCAUCUUGGGGAUAUUUGAUUUAUGCCUUUAUAUAUGGUUUUUGUUGCCCUAUAGUGAUCUAUUUAUAUUCCCCAGUUGUUGCGCAAAAAAUUACCAACCCCCCCUGGCGCCAUGUGCGUGGGCCCACAACACACACACACACGUGUGGGCACAUUCUCUGGCAUGUGCAUGAAGGUGUUUCUAUGUUCAAUAUGUGUUCUGAUACUACAGGCCAUAUAGCCUUUGUGGUUUGAGGAACUGGCCCUCUGAAGGAUCAUAUUAUACUGAGGUAUGAUGCCA